rnacentral:rRNA from 1 species
UUUUUUUUAUUAGAUAAAUAGUUGAACAAUUAAAUUAAAAACAUGCUCCUACAUAUAGCAACAAUUAUAGAUGAUAUGAUAUAAAAAAUAUAUUUUAUUCAUGGAAAAUGGAUAUAAUAUAUGUCUUGUUAUAUGUAGGAACAAGGCAAUAACAGUAUAUUUACAAGCGUUGCACGGCUGUCUUCAGUUAAUGUCGCGAGGCUAUGGUUAGUUCCAUUAAUUAACGUAAACCCUUACUUUAUUUUUAUAUAGAGUAGUUCCCCACUAGAUUGGAUAUGAUAACAGGGACUAAGACAA